UACGUAGGGUGCGAGCGUUAAUCGGAAUUACUGGGCGUAAAGCGUGCGCAGGCGGUUAUGUAAGACAGGUGUGAAAUCCCCGGGCUUAACCUGGGAACUGCAUUUGUGACUGCAUAGCUAGAGUACGGUAGAGGGGAUGGAAUUCCGCGUGUAGGCAGUGAAAUGCGUAGAGUAUGACGGAGGAACACCGAUGGCGAAGGCAAUCCC
rnacentral:rRNA from 1 species